CCCGUCUCUAGAAGCUCCAGUGGAGACCGUGCUGUACGCACAGGAUAAAGACGCGGCAAACAAACUCAUUCAUGUGGGUGAGAGGAUGAGCUGAGGAUCAUGUCCAAAGCUGGCUUGGUCCAGACCAAAUGGAAAUAAACAUGAUUAAAGCUGUUCUAUGCUGAGAGGGAUGGAGACAAAAAUGGGUGCCAGAUGUGGCCCUUUCCCCUGAUCACUGAAGUCACGCAAAGAUGAAGGUAAUUCUGAGUGAUGUUCUACAGAAUCUCAGGCCAGAUUGGCGUAGACCAACAUAUGUUCAAGUUCAGUCCGUAUUUCCUCUUGCCUUCUCAACCUGGUGUCUGAAACAAGAACUGAAUUAGAACAAAAUUAGCUGAUACCCCGUAGCUACUAGUAAGAGUUACGCUGGGGCACAUGGCUGGCUCAGUCAGUGGAGCAUACAACUCUUGAU